rnacentral:siRNA from 1 species
CAAAGUGCACAUGUAUUGGG